AACGAACGCUGGCGGCAUGCCUAACACAUGCAAGUCGAACGAGAUCUUCGGGUCUAGUGGCGCACGGGUGCGUAACGCGUGGGAAUCUGCCCUUUGGUUCGGAAUAACAGUUGGAAACGACUGCUAAUACCGGAUGAUGACGAAAGUCCAAAGAUUUAUCGCCAGAGGAUGAGCACGAGUAGGAUUAGCUAGGUGGUGGGGUAAAGGCGCACCAAGGCGACGAUCCUUAGCUGGUCUGAGAGGAUGAUCAGCCACACUGGGACUGAGACACGGCCCAGACUCCUACGGGAGGCAGCAGUGGGGAAUAUUGGACAAUGGGCGAAAGCCUGAUCCAGCAAUGCCGCGUGAGUGAUGAAGGCCUUAGGGUUGUAAAGCUCUUUUACCCGGGAUGAUAAUGACAGUACCGGGAGAAUAAGCUCCGGCUAACUCCGUGCCAGCCGCCGCAGUAA
rnacentral:rRNA from 1 species